UGGGGGAUAUUGCACAAUGGGCGAAAGCCUGAUGCAGCGACGCCGCGUGGGGGAUGAAGGCCUUCGGGUUGUAAACUUCUUUUGCUCUGAACAAGGCGCACCAUGGGGUGUGUUGAGUGUAGGGGUUGAUUAGCGCCGGCUAACAACGUGCCGGCAGCCGCGGUAAUACGUAGGGCGCGAGCGUUGUCCGGAAUUAUUGGGCGUAAAGGGCUUGUAGGUGGCUGGUUGCGUCUGUCGUGAAAGCUCAUGGCUUAACUGUGGGUUUGCGGUGGGUACGGGCUGGCUUGAGUGCAGUAGGGGAGGCUGGAAUUCCUGGUGUAGCGGUGGAAUGCGCAGAUAUCAGGAGGAAUACCGGUGGCGAAGGCGGGUCUCUGGGCUGUUACUGACACUGAGGAGCGAAAGCAUGGGGAGCGAACAGG
rnacentral:rRNA from 1 species